rnacentral:lncRNA from 1 species
AUCUUAUCAAAAUUUAACCAGAAAUAUCACUGUGCUUGUAUUCAGGAUAUUUUUCUCCGCGGAGCACCCACCCCCACCACUGGCUAAGCCUGUGUUAAUUGCACACCUCAGACAAAGAUGUUGCGAAUGGUAAUCCCAUCCACACAUGGCUAUCAGGGCUGCCCUCUAGCUCUGUAGAAAAUCCCAUCCACCCUAUCUCGAUGCAGAACAGGUAGUUACUAGAGCCUGGGCCUGAGGGAGAGGGAUGUGAAGCUGCUUUCAGAGCAGGCUUGGCAGGCCUGACCAGCAAGCUCAAUGGCUGGCUGCCCAUCCGAUAGCGGUGACGGCGAAUUCAGGGAAGAGCAUUUGCAGUCCCCAGAUGCCAGAGAUGGAGAAGAGGAGGAGGUAGGAAGAGAAUGUGUCUCUUAGUCUUUGCACCAUCUAAUCUGUCUUACCUGGAAGAACACCUGGAACCUGGAACAAAAGGAACAAAAGGAACCUGGAAGGAACACCUUUCUCAUUAUCUGGAAGGAGUGUGGCUUGUAAAAUAUGAGAAGUCCCGUCUGCCAAGUCAGGAGCUGCGAGGGAGGCUGGGAGAAAUGCUGUCCAGCAGUGGCUGGAUUCUGACAUCCCAUUCCUAUAGAAGGCAGCUGUAAAGUAUGUUACUGGUAAGUGCUAA